UAGUACGGCGAGUGAAGCGGGAAGAGCUCAAAUUUGAAAUCUGGUGGCCUCAGGUCAUCCGAGUUGUAAUCUAUAGAAGUGUUUUCCGUGCUGGCUCAUGUACAAGUCCCUUGGAACAGGGCGUCAUAGAGGGUGAGAAUCCCGUCCUUGACAUGAACUACCAGUGCUCUGUGAUACAUUUUCAACGAGUCGAGUUGUUUGGGAAUGCAGCUCAAAAUGGGUGGUAAAUUCCAUCUAAAGCUAAAUAUUGGCGAGAGACCGAUAGCGAACAAGUACCGUGAGGGAAAGAUGAAAAGCACUUUGGAAAGAGAGUUAAACAGUAUGUGAAAUUGUUAAAAGGGAAACGAUUGAAGUCAGUCGUGCUCUUUGGAUUCAGCCGGUUCUGCCGGUGUACUUCCUUUGAGUGGGGUCAACAUCAGUUUUGAUCGCUGGAUAAAGGCUGGAGGAACGUAGCACCCCCGGGUGAACUUAUAGCCUCCUGUCACAUACAGUGGUUGGGACUGAGGAACGCAGCACGCCUUUAUGGCCAGGAUCCGUCCAUGUACGUGCUUAGGAUGUUGACAUAAUGGCUUUAAACGACCCGUCUUG
rnacentral:rRNA from 4 species